UACGUAGGGGGGCUAGCGUUGUCCGGAAUCAUUGGCGUAAAGCGCGUGUAGGCGGUCCGGUAAGUCCGCUGUGAAAGUCGGGGGGCUCAACCCUCGAAUGCCGGUGGAUACUGUCGGGCUAGAGUGCGGAAGAGGCGAGUGGAAUUCCUGGUGUAGCGGUGAAAUGCGCAGAUAUCAGGAGGAACACCAAUUGCGAAGGCAGCUCGCUGGGACGUUACUGACGCUGAGACGCGAAAGCGUGGGGAGCAAACAGG
rnacentral:rRNA from 1 species